UAGUCCUACGGGGCGCAGCAGUGGGGAAUAUUGCACAAUGGGGGAGACCCUGAUGCAGCGACGCCGCGUGAAGGAAGAAGUAUUUCGGUAUGUAAAGCUCUAUCAGCAGGGAAGAAAGAAAUGACGGUACCUGACUAAGAAGCCCCGGCUAACUACGUGCCAGCAGCCGCGGUAAUACGUAGGGGGCAAGCGUUAUCCGGAUUUACUGGGUGUAAAGGGAGCGUAGACGGCGAUGCAAGUCUGAAGUGAAAGGCGGGGGCCCAACCCCCGGACUGCUUUGGAAACUGUAUGGCUGGAGUGCAGGG
rnacentral:rRNA from 1 species